rnacentral:rRNA from 1 species
GUGCCAAGCAGCCGCGGUAUUUCCAGCUCCAAUAGCGUAUAUUAAAGUUGCUGCCGUUAAAAAGCUCGUAGUCGAACUUCGGCGCCUGAUGGCCGGUCCGCCUUCUUGGUGUGUACUUGCUCAUCGGGCGCUUACCUCCUGGUGAACUCUGAUGUCCUUUACUGGGUGUCAGAGCAAACCAGGACGUUUACUUUGAAAAAAUUAGAGUGUUCAAAGCAGGCCUACGCCCGAAUACAUUAGCAUGGAAUAAUAGAAUAGGACGCGCGUUCCCAUUUUGUUGGUUUCUGAGAUCGCCGUAAUGAUUAAUAGGGAUAGUUGGGGGCAUUUGUAUUCCGUCGUCAGAGGUGAAAUUCUUGGAUUGCCGGAAGACAAACUACUGCGAAAGCAUUUGCCAAGGAUGUUUUCAUUGAUCAAGAACGAAGGAAGGGGGAUCGAAAACGAUCAGAUACCGUUGUAGUCUCUUCUGUAAACUAUGCCAAUUGGGGAUUAGCACAGGAUUUUCAAUGACUGUGUUAGCACCCGAAGAGAAAUCUUUAAAUGAGGUUCGGGGGGGAGUAUGGUCGCAAGGCUGAAACUUAAAGGAAUUGACGGAAGGGCACCACCAGGUGUGGAGCCUGCGGCUUAAUUUGACUCAACACGGGGAAACUCACCAGGUCCAGACACAAUAAGGAUUGACAGAUUGAUAGCUCUUUCUUGAUCUUGUGGUUGGUGGUGCAUGGCCGUUCUUAGUUGGUGGAGUGAUUUGUCUGGUUAAUUCCGAUAACGAACGAGACCUUAACCUGCUAAAUAGACCAGUCGACUUUGGUUGACUGCUGUCUUCUUAGAGGGACUAUCAGCGUUUAGCUGAUGGAAGUUUGAGGCAAUAACAGGUCUGUGAUGCCC